GCGAAAGUGGCGGAAUUGGUAGACGCACUGGAUUUAGGUUCCAGCGCCUAUGGCGUGGGGGUUCGAGUCCCCCCUUUCGCACCA
rnacentral:tRNA from 2 species